rnacentral:tRNA from 2 species
AGGAAACUUCCAUAAUUGGUAAUAUGGGUUGAGCUGUAAACUCAGUAGCUACUAGCUUUUAAGAGUUCGAAUCUCUUGUUUCCUA